AGGGAAUCUUCCACAAUGGACGAAAGUCUGAUGGAGCAACGCCGCGUGAGUGAUGAAGGUUUUCGGAUCGUAAAACUCUGUUGUAAGGGAAGAACAAGUGCGUUAGGUAAUGAACGCGCCUUGACGGUACCUUAUUAGAAAGCCACGGCUAACUACGUGCCAGCAGCCGCGGUAAUACGUAGGUGGCAAGCGUUGUCCGGAUUUAUUGGGCGUAGAGCGCGCGCAGGUGGUUUCUUAAGUCUGAUGUGAAAGCCCACGGCUCAACCGUGGAGGGUCAUUGGAAACUGGGGAACUUGAGUGCAGAAGAGGAUAGUGGAAUUCCAAGUGUAGCGGUGAAAUGCGUAGAGAUUUGGAGGAACACCAGUGGCGAAGGCGACUGUCUGGUCUGUAACUGACACUGAGGCGCGAAAGCGUGGGGAGCAAAC
rnacentral:rRNA from 1 species